rnacentral:piRNA from 1 species
UGAAGGUGAACAAAUGCUGCAAGUGG